GAUGAACGCUGGCGGCGUGCCUAACACAUGCAAGUCGAACGAACAGAUCAGGAUUUUUCUCCUCCGACGUUAUAGGCGGUGGGGUCAUUAACUCGUGUUUAACCUACCUAAAAGACUCUUAUACUUUUGGGAAUUCUGAGCUAAUGCCGGAUAAUUUAUUGCACUUCGUGGUUCAAUAGUCUAAUUCGGUAUUUCUGUCAGUUAUAGAUCGCUCCGCGCCGAAUUAGUUGGUUGUUAAGGUAGAGGCUUACCAAGGCAAGGAUGGGUACCCGACCCGAGAGGGAGAUCGGCUACCCUGGAACUGAGAAACGGUCCAGACGCCUAGGGGAGGCAGCAGUAGGGAAUCUUACGCAAUGGGCGAAAGGUUGACGGAGCAACGUCGCGUGAAUGAUGAAGGUCUUAGGAUCGUAAAACUCUGUUAUUAGGAAGAAACAAAUAUGUAAGUAACUAUGCAGAUCAUGACGGUACCUAAACAGAAAGCCACGGCUAACUACGUG
rnacentral:rRNA from 1 species